rnacentral:tRNA from 1 species
UCCCUGAUGAUCCAAUGGUUAGGACUCUGGGCUUCCACGGCAGGGUCCCAGGUUCAAUCCCUGGUCAGGGAG